AAGCCUUGGUUCUCUUUCAUUUACACGAAAAAAUAUUUCGCCUUUUACUAAAGAUUUCCGUGGAGUAGAAAACCACCAUGGGCCUUAGAGUAUUUUUGUCUGCGCCGGGAUUUUUUUGGCGG